UGCAGAUCAUCGCCAUGGCUGCUGUAAGGCUCCUGUCGUCUUAGAAGGACAUUCCCGUUGAUCCACUCACAUAUUCUUUAAAGUGUGUUG